ACUGCUGUUGAUUUAGCGAGAACUACUUUCAUGUUAGUGGUGGAGAUAAUGUUCUAGCUGUUUACUUUAUGCUUUUUCAUUUAUCAUGUGCAUGUUACCUUUGGCAUUUUGUGUGAUGAAUUGAAUUUUGAAUCUGAAACUUUGAUAAUCAACUUUGUUAUGCAUUUGGUAUUUUAUAGUAGCUAUGUGUUGCUAUCAAAAUGAAUUGAAUGAUUUUGGCAUGUGUCAGUUCUAUCUGCUUUUCAUCUGUGCAAUCUCAACAUGAAAAAGGGAAAACUGGAAAAGCACACCAAUCCAUCCAUGUUUUGUGUUACUUGAACUUGAGUUAUACAAGGUUGGUUCUUCUCAAGUGCCUAUGAACUGAUGAGUUGAUGAAUGAUGGCAUUCCAUGCACGCAUGUGUAGUGUGAUAACCAGGCUUGACUAGAAUGGGAAUAUCAUCUAUUUUGUAGUACUAUGUAAUCUACUGUACAACCCCCCCCCCCCCCCCCUACUAUAAUAGGAUGGGGUUUGGUUUUUGCUGUUCAGUUUCGUUUUGAAUGUUUUGGUGCUGCAACAUACCCUCUAAUCAGCAUGACUUGUUCUGAUCCAAUUUAAGCACUCACUGCAUUUGAAUGAUCGAAUAGCUCUUUUUCAUCUUUAUGUAAUGUACCCAUCUUUCUGUGAUUUAGGUCAAGUGAUUAGUUCAGAUUUUUCCUUCAUUUUCUUUAACAUCAUCCUCUCCACAUCAAAAUUAUUCUACCAAGGUUUUCAAUGUGAUAGUAAUAAUUCUGGAAGCAAUUAGAAGAUAUUAGUCCUAUUUUUUACUCCCCGUGCUUUAAUAAUGGCCCAAGUCAUUAUAUUUGGUUAGUAAAUUUCAAAUAAAUUUAAACAACUUGAAACCAAAGAUUAAGGAUUAAAUCUUUUACUACUAUUUUUUAGCAUUCGUAAUUUCACAGUUUUUUUUUUUUUUUUAUUGUUUUGAAAUCACUUCUUUGUUUGAAUAUUAGGCUUAAAGAUUUUAAAAUUACACAGUAUAUAAUAACACCCCUUGACGUCCCAACCCUUAAACCAAACUCCAGAUAAGAAAUGAGCAAAGCAACGGAAGCCUCUUCCUUCCGUCGUCUAGUCGGCCUUUUUACAUCUUCUCUUUCUUCAACUACCGAUAACAACAUCACCACCGCCAUAACCUCCUCUAAAUCCAAAUCCGAAACACGCAAGCUGCAAAAACUUGCCAGCAAAUUCAAGCAAUGCUCCGAAUCCAACAAAUUCCGCAACAACUACAAAAAAACCUACGCCUUGACUGUUCACCGCCUCGCGUCGGCAAAACAAUUCUCUUUAAUCGAUGACAUCCUCCAACACCAAAAGAAGUACAAAGAAAUCUCCCAGGAAGGCUUUGUAAUCCGCCUCAUUACGCUCUAAGGUAAAGCAGGCAUGUUCGAAUACGCCCAGAAACUGUUCGAUGAGAUGCCUGAACUAAAAUGUGACCGUACGGUGAAGUCAUUUAAUGCCCUUUUGUCAGCGGUUGUUCAUUCAAAGAUGUUUGAUAAGGCCGGAAAGUUGUUAGAACAGUUACCAGAAAAGGUGGGAAUAGAGCCUGAUUUGAUUUCUUAUAACACAGUUAUUAGGGCCUUCUGUGAGAUGGGUUCUAUGGAUUCAGCGUUUUCAGUGGUUGAUACAUUGGAGAAGAAGGGAUUAGGGCCCGAUAUAGUUACGUUUAACACGCUGCUUGAUGGGUUCUUUUCUAAGGGUCGAAUUACUGAUGGAGAGGAAAUAUGGGGUUUAAUGGAAAGGAAGAAUGUUGUUCCUAAUAUUAGGAGUUAUAAUUCAAAGUUAAGAGGAUUGGUUAGUGAGAAUAUGAUGUUGAAAGCUGUUGAGUUGUGGGAGGAAAUGGAGAGUAAAGGAAUCCAACCUGAUGUUCACAGUUACACUGCUCUGAUUACGGGUUACUGUAAUGAUGGGAAUUUAGAGCAAGUGAAGAAGUGGUAUAGUGAGCUGAAGAAAAGUUUUUUACCUGAUCGGGUUACUUAUCUUACUCUUCUUUCGUUCCUGAGGAAGGAGAAUGAGUUUGAAAUGGCACUUGAGCUUUGCAAGGAGGCUAUGGAUCGACGGCUCAUUGCUGGGGCUGCAUUCAUAGAUGGAUUGGUUAAAGAGUCAAGGAUCGAAGAAGCUAUACAACUCGUGGAAUCAGGCUUGUCGCGAUAUGCUUUGAAGCUGAAAUUCCCUUCGUAGGACUUGAAGAUAUAGUUACUCACAACUCGUAUGCUUGUUCUUUUAUUUUAUUUUAUUUUAUUUUGCUCGUGUUCUAUGCUUGUUCCAGUUUAUCUUAUUUUCAAUCUGGUUUGGGCGUCAUACUUGGCCAGUUUAACCAAUGGUGCUUCGAAAACAUGAUGAAUGAGAUGGAUCUCGGUUUGACCCAUGUGGUUUUGUUUGAAACUUGAAGUUGGAUUGAUGCAAUAAGAAUCAAGGACAUUGACAGAAACAGGACCGCCAUUUAACUGUUCAAAGUAUUCAUAUGGAUUUUCAACUUUGCACUGGUCAAACAACAAUUUUUUGUAGCCCACUGGCUUCAUUUUCGUGGUGGCUUUACUAUUACACUCUCUCUCUCGAUAACUCAAUCCGUAUUCGAUGAGUUUCAAUUUAAUUCGAUUUUGUAAGAUUAAUUUUUUUUUUUAAAUAUAAUUUUGAGUCGAAUCAAAUAAGGUUAAGAAAAAAAAUUAAAAUUAGGUCGAAUUUAAAUUUUAGGUAAAUUUAACCCAAUAUGAUAUUAUAUAAAAAAUUAUUUUUUAAUUAUUUAUUUAUAUAUAUUUAUAUAAUUAUAUAUUUAAAUAUUUAUAUUUAAAAAUUAUAUUUUAUAUUUAAAAUAUAAUAUUUUAUUAAUUUCAAAUCGAAUUAGAUACAAUUUAUACAAUAUUUGAUUGAGUCAAAUACGAAAAAUAAAAAAAACUUUUGAAUUGGGUUCAAAUUUGAAACAUAUAAAAAUUAAAUCGGGUCAAGACAAAUAAAAAUUUAUUUCGAUCCGAUUCGUCAACUCUACUCUCUACUAUAGCUAGCAUUGUGCUGCCGUUGUGCUGCGAUUACAUUUUUCUUGUUUAAACAGUAAAAACAAAUAUAACAACACAGUCAAAAAGAUCAAAUAUAUAAUUAGUUACAGGAAAAACAGAAGAUAACAAAUCUGUGCAAAGUUUGCAAAAAAAAAAAAAAAAAAGAUUUACUUGAUUCCCAUAAACAAAAUGCUAGAGCUAGUGAUAUCUCUAUGUUUUAGCACAUAAAAUGUUCAAACUAUAGUACAGAAACUCACGUAAACAAAAAGUUAGAGAUAUCCCUAAUUGUGUUCUAGCAUAUAAAAGAUGUAAACUCCUGUUUAUUUUUCACCAAUUAGCAUUAGACCAACAUGAUUUUAAAUUAAACAUGUAAAAUAAUCAUGAAAAAAUUGAAAACAAAAUCUAAUUAAAAGUUUCAAACUACAAACAUAAUUAUCUAAAAAUGAGUACAUAUUCGCUACUUUAGUAAAAACCAAGCAUGGAAUAUAAUAAUUCUUAUCCUACCAUUUCAUCGCUUUGCCUGUCAAACACAACUAAAUUGCAUUUAAAAGUACUGCAAAUAAAAGCACUAAAUUGGCAGGAAUAAAGUUAUAUGGAAAUAUUGUACUACUCAUGUAUCAGAACACAUUGUCAAACAAUAGGAAAAAAGAUGUAAGAAACCUACUCUUGGAGUUUGCAGAAAUCUCAUCAGCCAAAAAAAAGAAUAUUUUUAUAGUAACGCAGGUCUGCCUAUUGUGAGUAAAGCUGUAGAGAAUCACAAAAUUAAGAUCUUGGAGAAUCACUCAAAAUAGAGUCUACAAAGAUUUUUCAACAGUAUAUCAAAGCCAAAUAAGUCGACGCAACCUAAUAAUUAGCUUGUCUUUUUUUUUUUUUUUGUACUUAGUAAAAUCAUGCUAAGCAAUACACCUUUUGAUGUUUGCAGCCUCAUGCCAUUCAACUGUUUUACCUCAAUAUCAUUAUUAUAUCAGAAAUGGUAACACCCUCCUUCUAUUUUUCCCUUUUAAACAUAUUCAAACCAUUUUAUUUUCUCUUUCUUUGAGCUACAAAAGAGUUGGUUAAGAUUAACAGACAUAAUAAUAAUAAUAAUAAUAAUAAUAAUAAUAAUAAGCGAAUGAUAGAAAAAAUUUUCAUUUUACAUGUCAUUUAAAAAAAAAGAUAAGAAAAACAACACUCAAAAUGAAUUUAACUAUAGAUCAUGAUUAUGAAUAUAUGUGUGUGUGUGUGAGAGAGAAAACAUCGUUUUGCAGAAUCAAUUUGUUAUGACCCAUAUCCCAUAUAAAAUUCAAAACAUUUUAAUUAAUAAAUGCAACUAUGAAGUACUAAAAUAUAAAACCGAGUGCAACAAUAGCCUUAUUAACACCUUUUAUUCAAAAUGUAUCAUAGUAAAGUCAAAUGCAAUCAAUUGACUUUGUUUAAAUCUUAUAAGGUGUAUUAUUCAAAAUAAUAGAAUUUUCAAAAGUUUCUAAACACAAGCAUAGUUUUCUACAUCAUGGCAUAUAUAUUAUGCAUAGUAGUUAUAGUCUCAUGAUUUAAUAUUUAGCCAUCCAUGAGAUUAGCAAAAUCAUGUUGAUGACAAUAAUGACUACAUAUAUAUAUAUAUAUAUAUAUAUAAAAACAAUACAAUAAAAUCUAAGUUGAACGAAUUAAAAUUGUAAUAGGAUUAUUAAUCUUCUUGACAACAAAAGUUCAGUUUUAAAAUUAAUUUUAUAGAUUUAAUUAAUUAUAAAUUUGAAGGCACAAAAUAAGCCAUCUUUAUAAAAUAUAUAGGACUAUCUAAGGCUGAUAUAUAAAUUCUCAAAUCGACUUUGAAUAUUCAAAAAAAUUGAUAUCUUAUACAUUUUACAAAUCAUUUUGUGCAAAUAUUAAAUUCCCCGCAGAUAGCAAGAUUAAGAAAUUACAUUGCAAGUAAGAUUUCAAUAACCUAGAUAUAUUUUAUCUCAAUAUUUAAACUGUCCCUAUUUUGUUUUACGACUUUAUUAGAAUAAUUCACAAUAUACAAAACUAAACUUGAUAAAUCAACCAAAAUGAACUAAUAUAAGACAACCAAACUUUAACCAAUAAGCAUUCUAUGGAAUGAAUUUAACUGAUAAAACAAAGCAUUAGCUAUCAAUACCAUAAAAAGGUAUUGUUCAAGCCUUGUCACUUGCUCUGCUGGGGCACUGUUGCAUUUCAAUAAGAGGCUUUAGUAGUGGAGAAGCGUGACUAUGGAAGCUUUUGGGGUAUGCUAAAGGUGUUGAAUCAAGAGCACAUGCAAUAAAUGAUAGUAGAGCAAUUUUGGUGUCAAAAAUUGAAUUGGUCUUGUCUUAUCAAGUAGGAAUUUUUCAAUAAACAAAUAAAAAUAAUAUAAAAGCCAGGAAAAAAAAAAACUGAUUUGAGAUAUCUCAAACCUAGAUAGCAUUAAGAUCUUUUGACAUAAAUAUAAAGUUUGAAUUUUAUCAAAACAGAAUUGAAUAUACAUAGAUAGCAUCAAGAUCUUUAGGCAACAACUCAAUAAGUUCAAUCAGAUCCAUUAUGUCCAUAAAUGAAAAUUCAAUUCUGUCUCGAUACAGUUCAAACUGAAUGCAUUAAAAUUUAUAUAUAUCAACACUUUCUUGGGGCCUUUUCUAUCAUAAAGAAUAUAAUACAGAGUAAAAGUGAAGCGAUAAGCAAUAUAAUGAGUUAAAUUUUUUAAAAUAUUUUGCACUUGAAUUGCUCAAAACCAUCACUUAAAAUAAAGUGACCUAUUAGCUAUUCAAAUUGCAAUCUAAUGUAUCUAAUGCUAGCUCACUCCAACCACUCACAUUAGAUGCAAAAGCUGUAAGCGUACAUAUUUAUAACAAGCUGAAAAGUAGAAGCACCUAAAGAUAAAUCCAUUUUUACUUUUUUUGUAAUAAUGGAAUUAGGUAAGGAUGGUCCAUAAAUGUGUGCAAAUAAUGCAAUUGUCUUGUCUUUAUACUCAUACAAAUGGUGGCAUUGUCUACUUUUUGUACCUAUCGUUCCCACGCUUCGUCGCAACUCAAUGAUUAUGAAUGGCUACAUAAUUAACGCAAUGAAAUAUAAUACAAGAAUGGAAUAAACACUAAGCAUAAUGAUGUCUCAUUAUUUUACUACAAAUAAUCAAAAUGAUAUAACUUUGAAGUCAAUUUAUAAGUAUUGAGAUAUGUGCAGUGUUUUUUUAAGGUCAAUGCUGGAUUGGACCAUGAGUUACCAUGAAUGCCUUCUAUGCAAUGUUUUCUUUUUUUUUAAUGGAAGACAGGUUGACAAUAUUUAAUACUCUGUUCUAUCCAAUUUAAGCCUUAUUGGAACAUGAUCAAUUUCUUUGAAUUAAUCUAUCUCUAGCUACUCUAAACACUUUAACAAUCUCAUUACUCUAAUCAAGCAUUUUGAUUUAUCCAUCAACUAUUAUCCUACCAAUCCUACUAUGAUCAUUGUUGUCAUUGAAAAAAACCAUCCUAUUUGAACAUUAAUUUUCAAUCUCAUAAAUGUAUAUUGAACAAACAGGGACAUUAGCUAUACAUCUAACUUCGUCUCUAAUAACUUUUUACUUAACAACAAUGGAAGCUCAUGGAUUCCUUGAUGGAUUCUACCUUGAAUGUUUCAAUACAAAAUCAAAAUAGCUUUGUAUUUCUUUUUCCUCCACCUCCACCUCCACGUACAACAUCUAAAAAAAUUUGAUCACAAACAUCAUCUAAAGACAGUCUAUCUAAUUAUUCAUCUAUUAAACCCAUUCCAAUACAAAUUAUAGGUGAAUCAAAAGUGGAACUUCUUUGUUAACAGCAAGAAGUCAAAAAUUAAGAGUGUAAGAGCAAAAAAAAAAAAUCUUAUGUCAACAAUUAAGCAUCACUAAAAAUAAUGGCAAAACAAUCAUAACAUCAGGAAUAAAAAUAAUCAAUAGAUUUUAAUAUUGGUCAACAUAGAAUCCAACACAAUAGCAACAUUAACAUAUUUAAAAAUAAUAAACAUAAAUCCAACUCAAUCCCAAUAAUAAUCAAGAAAAAGCUAAAAAUGUUGCAAGUAAAAGAAUACAUUUAUGAAAAGAAAGAUAGAGUAAUAAAUACUCCAAUUUUCUAUUCAAGCUAUUGUUGAUAGCAGUUGUAGUCUUUCUUCUACCAUAUCUUGUUGUAGUAUUCUUUAACUCUUUCAAAAUUGCAAUUGGCCCUUGCCGACAAAUGGAUUCAACUACAACUACGUAAUAGAUUGUGUCAUAAUAUAUAGAUCCACAAAUCUAUAGUUAGACUUAAUAAGAAGAGUCACCACCAAUUUUUUUUAACUAGGUGUGAUUGGCCACCUAAUGAAUCUAUCAUUGUAAAAAGCUCUUGAGCUUGACUAAAGAUAUCUAAAAGAAUAGGUUCUGAUGUACUAAUCAAAAUAGGAUUCAGAAGUUCGAUUACGUAUGGAGCAGGUUAUAGCAUCCCCAUAUACCCAUCCAAUGGACGGUAUCAUUUUAUUUUAAAUUAUCUUAAUAUUUUGAUUCUAAUAGUCUUAAAUUUAAUAUUGAAGAUAAUUAUUAAGACUUCUCCAUUAAUUUGAUAGAAUUCUAAAUAAUAUUUUCUCAUUUCGAAAGUAUUUAAGAAUCUCAUUUAUUUUUUUGAAGAGGUUCCGUCGUCAAAAAAAAAAAUUAUUUUUUUUGAUUUUUUAUUGAAAAUAUAUCUAAUUCUUUUACCAUUUGGGCUAAAUUAGAAAUAUUUUCUUACUUAAAAAAUCUUCGAUAAUCAUCCAUUUGUGAUACCAAAAAUUUUAUCUUCAAAAUUUAUUUUUUUAUUUCACAAGUUUUAUUUCGAAAUCUUCCACCAUUUAGGUCAAUUUAGAAUUUUUUGCAAGUAUUGUUUUUAAAUUUUUCAUCAUUUUGGUCUAUUUAUAAAAAAAACUCUUGUUAGUUUCCUGCUUUUUGGAAAAAAAUAAUAAUUCUUUAAGUUUCAUUUAAAUUCUUUCAUAAUUUGGGACAAAUUUAAAGAAAUUUCUCACUUAGAGAUUUUUUAGAAAAUUUACCAUUUGAAAUUUCUAAGAAUAUCAUCAUUGGAUAAUUAGUAUUUAAUUCCAAAAUUUUAUUAAAUUUGUGUUUUUUUAUUUUUAAAAAUAAAUAUUAAUUAUUAUUAUUGAAACUUUAUCUAAAUUCUCCUCCAUUUGGGAUAAAGUUAGAAAACUUUCUCACCUAAGAAUUUUAUAGAAAUUAACCUUUUGUAAUUUCUAAAAAUUUCAUCAUUAGAUAAUUAUUAUUUAUUCUUAAAAAAAUUAUUUAUAUUUUAUUUUGUUCUCUUUUUUUAAUUUUUUUCUCUAAUUUUUUCUAAAAUUUAAUCAUGCAAAAAAUAUAUAUCUUAAAAAAACAUAAAACAAAAAUAAAUAAAAACCAUAAAAAAAAAAAACAAAAAGGACUGGCUCGACUCAGCUAUGGCACUGGCUCGACUCCAGACACAAGAUAAUUCUAGACACAAGAUAACUCCAAAGGCGUGGCUUAGUUGACUGACGGCUUGGCUCAGCUUGGGUUUCAAUUGCUAGAAGCGGGUUGUGGGUCAAGGCACUAUGAAUCGGGUCGAGUAAGUAAAAAAUGUGUGGAUCUUAAGCCUACUUAACCUCCAAAACGUUGCCGUUUAAGCCUGAAUAUAAAAACCAAAAUUUUUUUUUCUACCUUAUUUUUCCUCUUUGGCUUUCUCACUCUAGUUGAUUCCUCCUCUGACCUCUCUCUAGAAUUUGUUGAAUGCCAAUCGAAAACUUAACCACUCUAAAAAAUGACAACGAAAAUUUCAAGCUUCGCCGUGAACUUGAUUAGAAUAUUCAACCUCACCGAAAAAUUGAUUAGAAACUUCAAACUAACCUAUAAAAUCCCAAAUUUUCCCAAAAAAAAAAAAAUUUGUUCCCCUUUUCCAUUUUCCCCAAAUCCAUAUGUUCUUUAAUUCCUAAUCUAAAUAACUACUUUUCUGAAAAAAAAAUAAUAAAAAAUUUAAAUCUACCACUUUUUCUCAUGAUUUUUUCCUCCUAACUUUUUUAUUUUAUUUUUACUAUUUCUUGAUUGUUUCUACCUAUUGCUUGCUUUGAGUUUGUAUUUAUAAAGAUCUGAUUAUAAGAAUCCUAAACCAAAAGGAUUUUAAUUGCACUUCAAUUCCUACUCCAACUCUGAUUUUAACCCAAAUUUCAUAUUCAAAUAAAAAAUCCCAGAUAAACUCAACUGUUUCAAACUCUCUUAAUUUUUUUUAUUUUUUUUAAUAUUUAACAACAACAAAUCAAGCAAUUACAACACCAAAUAAAUUGGAGUGCCUAUAGGUUGCAGCAUCAAAUUUAUUUAACACAAUCAGUACAUGAAACACCAAUUAAAAAAUUAGAAGUCAUGAGUAAGCAAUCAUAUCUUGAUUCAUUUCCAAGUGAAGCAAUAUUAACAUAUAUAUUUAAUAUUAAGAGUAGUUGCUUAUCUACAUCAAUUACAGUAAUAAUUUAAGAUCAUUUCUUUAACUCAAUAUUACUGUUCUAAAAAUUUGGAUUUUAUACUUUUGGAAUCGUCAAUAGAAAAUUUAUAAAAUUCAUAUAAUUUUAAAUCAAAUUCCUUUACUCACAAAUUGUAACUUAUAUAGGAAACUUGAUCACCGUCUUAAAACUCACAUUUUUUAUUUGCCUGGUAAUCAAACAUUAGACAGUGAAUCCCUUUUUUCUUAUCACCAAGAAUGCCAUACUCUUCGCCAAUGUUCAUGUUAUCUACCACAACAUAAAAGAUAGCAAUAAUACAUGAAAGACAAUAGCAAAAAGCAAUGUUAAUGAUGCAUUCCAUUGCAAUGCAAAAAACCAAAAAAAUAUAAUAAAAUCAAGAAAAAUUACACAAAGCCUAUAAAGAAAAUUGCAUAUUAUAUGGAAAAACCUUCAACACACAAAAAAAUAGAAAAAUAACAUAAGAACUAACCAAUAAAGCUGAAGAGAGCUAUGUGCCAUUACUUAGUCACCUAUAGCCAUUAGAAUCUAUUGAUCCACCAUAUGAAUAAAAACAUUGUAUUUGCAAUUUCUAGGAGCUUUUGUAAUACUACUGGAAACAUCAAUUUCAAAUGAUUAGCCACUAAAUGAUAGUCUACAUUAUCAUAUACAAUUUAAGCUAUAAUAGAUGAGAUUAAAUAUAUCUAAGAUACACCAUAAAACAUACAUAAAUGCCAAUGAUCAUAAUAAGAUUCUUUAACACUUAAUCAACUAAUGUUGAAUGCAUAGGGCUGAUUCUUAUAACCCAUUACAACUUCAAUGUAAAUGAUACAUUUUAUAACUUAACCAAAUAACAUUUACCAAGUAAAUGAAAAUAAACAAUCUACAUCAAAAACCUAAUUGUAAUAUAGACUUUAUAACAAAACAUAAGUUGAUUUGCACUUUCUCUAAUGGAGCAUAUAACUUAUUUAUUAAAAUUUCCAACUAAUGAAAAAAACUUUCCAAAUUCCUCUCCAUAUCCAUACAAUAUAAAAAACCAUAAUCUCAAUUAUCACUGUAGAAGUAAUGAUUUCCAUAUCAACUUACCAAUUAACUAAUAAGAUGCAACAUCUUAAAAGUAAUCCUGAACUAUUAUUAACUUUUAAAAGAUCAUUAAUUAGCCACUGUGAUCAAUUUACCUUUUUUAUUCUUGUUUUCAUUUGUUUCUUUGUGGUACUUCAUGCUUCUAACAAAUUUUCCCUUUUUCUCCAUGUACAAUAUAACAGCUAAUUAGUGAUUUUGUAUUUAAAGGAUACACAAAACAGGUCCUAUGAGGUAUUAAGUCUAACACUUUAAACAUUAAUUAUUCAAAUGUAAUUUACUAAAAGAAUGAUUCUUCUUUCUGAGAUAUCUAUUACAAUGAUGAGUAAGUCAUUCCUAAAUGGUUAUAAUCAUUCCUAAUUUUUGUAAUAGCAAUAAGCAAUGAACAUUAAGAAAGGUGAUUUAGAACUACAAAGCUUAACAAUCAGCUAAGUAAAUGCUACACAAUUUUUUAGAGAUGUAAUGACAACUAUAUAAAAACAAAUUAAUACAAACAAUUUUAGAGAUGUAAUGACAAUUAGUUUUGGGGCUGAAUAACACUUUUUUUUGCCAACUAAAUAACAUUUUCAAUUUCAGUAAAAAGUUACUUGAAAAUAAAUGGUUGUAAUUGAGCCCAUCUAGUUUGGUCCAACCUAUUACUUGAAAAAUGGUUUGACAAUAUCGACCUUAUUUUGUUAGCAUGAUAAAUAGAAUAAAGCCUUUAACCAUGUUGAUCAACAUACAAAUAGAAUUUAAAAGGAGAUAAAGAAGUAAUUGGUUAAAAAAUAUUAAGCAUAAAAUUUGUGUUCAGUUAGCCAAGUGGUUGAGAGAGCUAUUAAACAUACUAUGCCACAUGUAUGCCCUAAAAAGUACCAUUUCAAGCUUUUGAUAUGUCCAGUUGUGAGUUCAAAGGAGUUGAAAGCCAAUCACCAACUCUUGGAUAUCAAUCUUCUGAAGUUUAUCUAAGCAAUGAAGAUUUAGAACAAACCAUUUAUCCAUUUAGCUUUGCAAGAUUCGUUAGGAUUAUAAACAAUCAUAAAGGAAAAAAAAUAUUUCCAAAGCUAUCCAAUAUCGAAGUAUCUUUAAUUAUGUGACAAAAAGAAUUACAGUUGAAUGUUUACAAAUCACAGCAGUAAAGAUCAUCAACAUAAUACAUAAAGAAUUAGAUAAAUUUUCUAAAGUGUAAUUGGAAAAUAACAUAAAUGAUGAAAAGAAAAUUUAAAAAGAAAAAAAAAGAAAAGCAAAAAUGAGGUGGAUGUUCAUUUGAGACCAUGCCAAAUUGAAGUUUAAAAUAUAAAUGUUAUUUUCAAAACCAUUGCUAGAGAUAAGGAAGAAAAACAUAACGAUCCAUUUUUCUUAAUACUCUUGAGUUUGUCUUGCAAUUAAUCAUGGGCUGACACCAUUGUAGCUAACAAAGAAAAUUUUAAACCUAAAUAGAUCUUAAAAUCUAACACUUAAAACAAUAAAAAAAGGUAAAAAAUGCUUGAAAUAGCUUAAAACACUAUGUAUUCUGAAACGGUUAAAAAAUAGAAAAGUAAAACCCUAAAAACAUUUUGCUUAUGUUGAGCCCCUUUACUCUAGAAAACAUUUUGCUUACAGUACAACAAACAGUACAAAGAUAAUAGUAUAAAAAAAACCAUCAAUUUCAAAUGAUAAAUGGAUAUGUUGGCCUUGAAUUGAUUAAAAGUUUUGAUUUGACAAAAUAAAAAUUUGCCAAACUUGUUUCAAUCUUAUCUAAGCUUAAAUUGAACAUUUUUUCACCUUUCUAUCUUUCCAAAAUUCAUUUGAGAAUCAAAACAACUCAAAUUCUCGAAACAAAAUAUAAUUUAUGUAAGUUUUGAUAGAAGAAAUCGAUCCCCUAGCAAAAAGGAUCGAACAUGUUUUCCACCAGAAUAGAAACUUCUCAGGAUUUGGCAAAAAUUGAUCAAUCCCCUCCAUGUAGGGAUCGAUUGGUUAGGGUUUCAAGCUGAACGGAUCGAUCUCCUCAUUCAAGAGAUCGAUCACUUUUUCAUACAAAAGGUUUGUAUUGUGCAAUUUUUCAGAAAACGGAUCGAUCCUAUCACAUAGAGGAUAAUCACCUAAGGUAAGGGAUCGAUCCCCUCUUAAAAGGGAUCAAUCGAUCGCUCAGAUAGAAUGUUCUCCAGUUUGAAAACCCAAAAAAUGGAUCAAUCCCCUCUUAAAGGGAUCGAUUGGCUAAGGUAAAUCAGACACAAAAUCGAGUCUUCUCCAAUAUGAACCAAUCGAUCCCCUAUGAUAAUGGAUCGAUCUCCUGAAGGCUAACAACUCCCAACGAUUUUUUUUUUUUGUUGAAAUUUCUGCAGGUUUGAAGCAUUAAAUGCAUUCCAAUGGCUCUCAAGUUCUUCCUAACUAUAAAUCAAGUAUUUCACUGCAGACCAAGAAAAAUAAAAGUCAAGAAACUUAUUGCUAUUCACCUAUCAAUCUGCUUAAGUAUUCAAAGCUAUAAAAAGAGAAAAAGUAUAGAAUUCAUAUCAGUUUUUCUCUACUUUCUUAUCUAUACCUUUGUGUACUUUAACUUAGCAAACACCUAACAUUUUGUGAGGUUCUUAAAGUUUGCCAAAUACUUCUAAAUUUUUGUAUAGUGAGUGUGUAAGCUUAAGGGAAAUGAUAACCCUUAAGAGUGUAUGUUGUUGAGUUUGUAAAGCUUUGUGAAAGCUUAGUUGUAAUCUUCAUCUAAUAGUGGAUUGAACUUCUUAGCAAGAGAGUCUAAGGGAGAGGAUAUAGGUGCCUAAGAAAGGAUCGAACCUCUAUAAAUCUUGGUGUUGAAUUCUCUAACCCUAUAUCUUGUUUAUAUUCAUCUAUUGUGCUUAUUUAUUUUGAUAAUUUAUGGUUAUUGAAUAUUAUACUUAAAAAUUUUAUUAAAACCAAUUCACCUCCUCUUGGUUUAUUCCAAGUCUUUGAGCUAACAAUUGAUAUUAGAGCUAGUACUCUUUUUUAUAGGUUUAACAGCCCAAGAGUGAUCCUAAAAUGACUCAAAAAAAUAUAGUAAUCAAUAUGAAAGAACCAUCCUUAAGCUAUAACAACUAUACCAGCUAACAAAAGGUGUGUCUCAUGGCAAAUGAAAUAGUUACAACAUUUCUUGGAAGUGAAAGGCAUUCAAUUAUUAGACCUCCUCUCUUUGCUGGUGACAACUACUCCUAUUGAAAGACUAGGAUGAGGUUGUUCAUUCAAGCUAAUAACUAUAAAGUCUAGAGGGUCAUUGUUAAUGGUCCUCAUAUUCCAAUAAAGAUGGUGGAUGGUAAGGAGGUGAUUAAGUUAAAAAAUGAAUGAGAUAGCAAUGAGAUGAAGAUAGCUCAACUCAAUGCUAAAAUAAUGCAUACACUCUUUUGUGCAUUUGGGCCAAGUGAGUAUAAUAGAGUUUUUUUAUGUGAAAAUGCAAAAAAAAUUUGAGAUAAGCUAGCUGUUACUCAUGAAGGUACCAAUCAAGUAAAAAAAAAAUUGGCAUGCUCACUCACGAUUAUAAGCUAUUCAAGAUGAAACUAAAUGAAACUAUUAGUAAGAUGCCAAACCAUUUCACCAACAUCAUUAAUGGUUUAAAGGCUCUUGGCAAGACAUACUCAAAUGUGGAAAUGAUGAAAAAAAUUCUCAACAGUCUACCUAAGAGCUGAGAAGCCAAAGUGAUAGCCAUUGAAGAGUUCAAAGAUCCUCACACACUCUCUUUGGAUGAACUGAUGGGCUUUCUCUUCACCUAUGAAAUGAAGAUCAAAAGGAGAUAAGAGCCAAUCAAAAAAGGUGACAUUGCUCUAAAAUCUACCUUUUAAAAAGAAGAAGACAAUUUUGAACAAGAGAAAAAUGAUGAAGAUGAAGAGAUAGCCAUGUUUGCAAAGAGAUUCAAAUUGUUCAUAAGGAUGAAUAAGUUUUUCAAUAGAAAAAAACCACAAAAGGAGAUGACUAAAGGAAAAUCAAGUAGAAGAGAAAAGGACCAAAUUAUUUGCUAUGAAUGCAACAAACCAAGUCACAUUAAACUUGAUUAUCCUUUAUGAAAAAAGUAAAAUAUAAUAAAGCCAAAGAAGAAAGCUAUGGUAGCAACAUGGAGUGAUAGUGGCUUCUUCGAUGAUGAAUCAAAUGAAAGAGAAGUAGCGAAUCUAUGUCUCAUGGCUUUUGAUAAGUCCAAGGUAACCUCUAGUUUAUGUGAUUUAAAUUCAUACACUUUUCAUCAACUACAAGAUGCCUAUGAUGAGUUAGCUAUAGAAUUUGAGAAUAUAAGCAUGAAAUAUAAGAAAAUGGUCUCCAAAUUGAAACUAGAAAAUGAAUUAUUAACUAAAGCAAAAGAAGACUUAGAAAAAAAAGUUGAGUUGUUGAAAUUGAAUGUCAAUGACUUGACUAAAAAAAAUAAAAAUUUGCACAAUUCAUUUUUUAGAUUUUAUAUGGGACAUCAAAAGCUCAAUGACAUGCUUGAAACACAAAGAGCUUUCUUUGACAAAGAUGGACUAGGUUAUAAUGGUGGCAACAAAAAAACUUAUUUAAAAAAUUUCCUUGUUAAGCUAAAUGAUUCAUCCAGCAUAUGUGCACAUUGUCAUAAAUUGGGUCAUUCAAUACAAUAUUGUCCUUUGAAAAAAAUCACUUAUAGAGUUAAGCUCAUUAGGAAAGUAUGGAAUCUAAAAGGAGUUAGCACAUCUUAAGAUGAGAUUACUAAAAUGAAGUGGAUUCCAAAAGGCACAAAAAUUGUUAGUACUAACACUCAAGGACCUAAAAAAAUUUGGGUACCCAAAAUAAAAUUUUAAUUAUUUUUUUAUAAGUGGGUGAGCAUUACUACAAAGCCAAUUCAAGCAAGAACAAUCUAUAGUACCUUGAUAAUGGAUGCUCAAAACACAUGACCGAGGAUAAAACUCUUUUUAAGGACUUGAAAGCCAAAAAUAGAGGAGAUGUUACAUUUGGUGACAACUCUAAAGGCCAAAUUGAAAGGAUUGGCUCAAUUGCUAACAAUUUCUCUACUACUAUUGAAAAUAUUUUACUUGUGAAAGGACUCAAGCAUAAUUUGCUUAGCAUUAGUCAAUUGUGUGAUAAAAGAUUUAAGGUUGUAUUUGAAUUCAUAUGCUGUUAAGUAAUUGAUAUCAAAAACAACAAACUUGUUUUUGUUAGACGUCAUCAAGAAAAUAUUUAUGUAAUGCAUCUAAAUAACCUAUCUUCUAAAAAUAUUUAUUUUAUGGCUCAAAAAAAAAUGAGAGUUGGAUUUGGCAUAGAAGGCUUGGACAUGUAAGUAUGCAUGUAUUUUAAAACUUUUUCAAAAUGAUUUGGUUGUUGGUUUGCCAAAGUUAAAAUAUGAAAAUGACAAGGUUUGUGACGCAUGUGCUCAAGAAAAACAUAAAAAAACUUUUUUUAAACCUAAGAAUUGCAUUUCGACUACUAGACCUCUUCAAUUAUACAUAUUGAUCUUUUUGGUCCUACUAGAACAAUGAGUCUUGGUGAAAAAUAAUAUGGGUUUGUUAUUGUUGAUGAUUUUACUAGAUUCACAUGGGUUCUCUUUUUGCAUUCAAAGAAUGAGGCUUUGGAAAAAUUCAUCAUUUUUAGCAAAUAAAUACAAAAUGAAAAAGGCACUUCUGGAUGAUGAUGAUGUAGGUAUACUUCAAGAAAGGAUCAAUGAUGCGCAUCAUGACAUUGAGGAGAAUAAUAAAAAAAAGAUGAUGAGUUUUUUGAGGAGUCACAACAUAGAGAGAGAGAGCCAAAUCAUCCUAAAAAAAAGAUGUAUGUCAAAGAUAAUGAAAUCAUUGGUGAUCCAACUCAAGGGGUAAGACCUAGAUCCUCUUAUAAUGUAUGCAAUUAUAUUGUUUUCCUAUCUCAUUUUGAACCUAAAAAUAUAGAUGAAGCUUUAGGAGAUGAUCAUUGGAUAUAGGCCAUGCAAGAGAAAUUGAACCAAUUUGAAAGAAGCUAAGUAUGGAAUCUUGUACUAAAGUCUAGUGAUCAUUCUACCAUAGGCACAAAAUGGAUUUUUAGGAAUAAAAUGGAUGAACAUGAGAAUGUUAUCAGAAACAAAGCUAGAUUGGUAGCUCAAGGGUAUAGUCAAGAAGAGGGAAUUGAUUAUGAUAAAACCUAUGCCCCGACUGCAAGGUUAAGGCCAUAAGAAUGUUGCUUGCAUUUGCAUGUUUUAAAAAUUUUAAGCUUUUUUAAAUGGAUGUCGAGAGUGCAUUUCUUAAUGAUUUUAUAAAUGAAGAAGUGUAUGUAGAGCAACCUCUCGAUUUUAAAAAUCCAAAAUUUAUAAAUCAUGUGUAUAAAUUGACAAAAGCAUUAUUUGGAUUAAAACAAGCUCCUAGAGCUUGGUAUGAAAUAUUGUCAAAUUUUUUGGUAGAAAAUGAUUUUAAUAAAGGGAAGGUUGAUACUACACUUUUUAUUAAAACAAAAAGAAAGGACAUUCUCAUACUGCAAAUUUAUGUUGUUGAUAUUAUAUUUGGUGCUACUAAUGAAACUCUUUGUCAAGAAUAUGCUAAGAUUAUGCAAGGUGAAUUUGAAAUGAGCAUGAUAAGAGAACUCAAUUCUUCUUGAGACUACAAGUAAAGCAAACAAAAGAUGGCACCUUCAUCAAUAAAGCUAAAUACAUUAAGGAUUUGCUCAUAAAAUUUAGAUUGGAAGAAUCAAAGCCUUGCUUAACACUAAUGAGCACUUCAACAAAACUUGACAAGGAUAAAGAAGGUAAAUAUGUUGACUCUAAACUAUAUAAGUCUAUGAUUGGUUCAUUGCUAUAUCUAACUGUAAGUAGACCUGAUAUUAUGUUUAGUGUAUGUUUAUGUGCUAGAUUUCAAUCUUCACCUAUAGAAUCACAUUUAUCCGCUGUUAAAAGAAUUUUGAAGUACCUUAAGGAUACUCUUAAUUUAGGAUUAUGGUAUUCAAAAGGUUCAUCUUUUGCUUUACAUAUCUAUUCAGAUGUUGAUUUUGAAGGGUACAAAAUUGAUAGAAAAAGCACUUCUGGUACUUUUCAAUUGUUUGAAAAUAUGCUCAUAUUAUGGCUUUUCAAAAAAUAAAAUAGUAUUACUCAAUUUACAACCAAAGCUGAAUAUGUGGCAGUCGAAAGUUGUUGUGCCCAAGUUUUAUGUAUUAAGUAAUAAUUUAGAGGAUUUUUGAAUAACCAUGUAUCAUAUUUCCAUUAAAUGUGACAAUACUAGUGCCAUCAAUCUCACCAAAAAUCUAAUUCAACACUCUAGAACCAAACAUAUUGAAAUUAGGCAUCAUUUUAUUAGAGAUCAUGUUCAAAAAGGUGAUAUUGUACUUGAAUAUAUGGAUACCUUGCAUCAAUUAGUUGAUAUAUUCACAAAACCUCUUGAUAAGGAUAGAUUUUAUGCAAUUAGAGGUGAACUUAGCAUGAUGAAUGUUCCUUGAAGUGGAUUUCUUGAUGUUAUAAUGAAUAAUGCACUCUUGAUUAAAGUGGCCUUGAAUUGAUUUUCUCUCUUUUGGUUUCAUUUUACUUUAUUUCAUCAUUUUUGCUAUGACAAAAAAGGGGAGAAAUAUUGGUAUGAAAAUUUGAUGAUAUAUUGAUAUUGAUGGUUAUGGUGAUAUUGCUCUUGCCUAGUUGCCUUAAAUCUUAUGCCUAAAUUCAAGAGGAGUUUACCUUUCAUAAGUUUAGGGGGAGCUUUUUUUUCAAAAGGAAAAAUGUUUUUAAGCAAAUUUUUCACUUGGUUUUGUCAUAUCAAAAAGGGAAAGAUUGUUGGCCUUGAAUUGAUUAAGAGUUUUGAUUUGACAAAAUAAAAAUUUGCCAAAUUUGUUUCAAUCUUGUCUAAGCUUAAAUUGAACAUUUGUUCACCCUUUUAUCUUGUUAAAAUUCAUUUGAGAAUCAAAACAACUCAAAUUCUCAAAACAAAACAUGAUUUAUGCAAGUUUUGAUAGAUGGGAUCGAUCCCCUAGCAAAAGGGAUCGAUCCUGUUUUCAACCAGAAUCGAAAGUUCUCAAGAUUUGACAAAAACCAAUCGAUCCCCUCUCUAUAGAGAUCGAUUGGUUUGGGUUUCAACCUGAACGGAUUGAUUCCCUUAUUCAACGGAUCGAUCACUUUUUCAUACAGAAGGUUUGUAUCGUGUAAGUUUUCAAAAAAUGGAUUGAUCCCAUCACAUAGAGGAUCGAUCAACUAAGGCAAGGAAUCGAUCCCCUCUUAAAAGGGAUCGAUCAGUUGCUUAGAUAAAAUGUUUCCCAAGUUUGAAAACUCAGAAAAAGGAUCAAUCCCCUCAUAAAGGGAUCAAUCGGGUAAGGCAAAUCAGGCACAAAAUCGAGCCUUCUCUACUAUGAACCAAUCGAUCCCCUAUGACAAGGGAUCAAUCCCCUGAAGGCUAACAACUCCCAACGACUAUUUUUUUGCUAAAAUUUUUGCAAGUUUGAAGUAUUAAAUGCAUUCUAACGGCUCUUAACUUUUUUCUAACUAUAAAUCAAGCAUUCCACUGUAGACCAAGAAAAAUAAGAGUCAAGAAACUUAAUGCUAUUUACCUACCAAUCUGCUCAAGCAUUUAAAGCUGUUAAAAGAGAAAAAGUACAGAAUUCAUAUCAGUUUUUCUUUACUUUCUUAUCUAUACCUUUGUGUACUUCAACUUAGCAAACACCAAACCUUUUGUGAGGUUCUUAAAAUUUUUCAAACACUUCUAAAUUUUUGUAUUGUGAGUGUGUAAGCUUAAGGAGGAGGAUAACCCUUAAGAGUGUAUGUUGUUGAGUUUGUAAAGCUUUGUGAAAACUUGGUUGUAAUCUUCAUCUAAUAGUGGAUUGAACUCUUUAGCAAGAGAGGCUAAGGGAGAGGACGUAGGUGUCUAAGAGAGGACCGAACCUCUAUAAAUCUUGGUGUUAAAUUCCCUAACCCUAUCUCUUGUUUAUAUUCAUAUAUUGUGCUUAUUUAUAUUGAUAAUUUGUGGUUAUUGAAUAUUAUACUUGAGAAUUUUAUUAAAACCAAUUCACCCCCCUCUUGGUUUAUUCCAAGUCUUUGAGCUAACAAGAUAAAAAUUAAGGAGAAAGCAAAGAGACAAAUCAUGUCAUGACUUAUCAAUUGUUAGAAAAAAAAAAGAUAAAAAUAUAUGAAAAAACUUAGAGAAAUCGAUAAUCACAUAAAAAUAGGAUUUAUGAAAAAUGAAUAUUGAUUAUUGCCUAAACAAAUAUGGCCAUUGCUAUUAAUAUGUGGAUGUAGAGGUGUUAGAUGAAGAAAUAUUACCUGCCAUCAAUAACCUAAAAAAGAAACAAAAAAAAUGCAAUAUUAUAAAAAGAAAAGAGAGAGAAACUUGAAAAAAUAUGUUUUUGAAUAAAAAUUAAACCUAGGGGGCUUCCAUAGGGUAAUGUUCAGGGAAAUCCACCUGAAGCUAAGCAUAUAAAGUUCCCAAAGCUCCAUUUACUUCAAUUACCCACCUAGUUUUUUUCAAUAAAAUAAAAAAGGUACCAUUUAAAAAAAAAAGAAAGCAAAAGUGGGAAGGCGAAGAUUUAAAGAAAAGGAAAAAUUUUACGAAUCAAUGAACAACCUUUGGAGAGUAUCGGUCACUUUGUGUUUAAAACUAGAAUGAGGAUAGGGUUGGCAGUUUAACUCGGAACUGGCGUAUUUCGACCAGAUCCGACUCCAUAGGGUCGGGUUUUUUUUUUUAAAUUGGGUUUUGGGUCGAGUCAGGUAUGGUAUAAUUAAGAAAAAAUCGAGAUUGGGUCAGGUUCGAGUUUUAGGCAAACUCGACCCGAUCUGACUCGAUAUUAUAUAAAAAAUAUUUUUUAAUUUUUUAUUUAUAUAUAUUUAUAUUUUUAUAUUUUAAAAAAUAAUAUUUUAUUAAUUUUGGGUCAAGUCGAGUCGGGUCAGGUACGGUUUAUACAAUAUCAAAUUCAGGUCGGAUUCAGGUAUAAAAAAAAAAAUUUUCAAGUCAAAUACGAGUUCAAAUUUUAUGGUUAUAAAAUUGGAUCAGAUUCGAAGCGAACAAAAAUUUAUCUCGAUCCGAUCCGUUGUCAACCCUAAAUGAGAGUUGACUUGCCACUUUACUAGCUCUUUCUAUACCUGAUUGCACGCUAUCUUACUUGAUGCUUAAAAAACCAAAUCAAAUUCCCUCAAAAUUAGUCAGACCAACAAAAAAAAAAGAAAAACAGAAAGAAUGAAGAAAGAGGGAACCUUAGGAGUCAAGGUGGAGGAAAAAAAAAGAAAGAAAAAAAUUAAAAUUCUCUCAUAUAUAUAAUCAUUUGGUAUGCGUAUCUCUAUCUCUUCAACCUAAAAGAUUUGUUAUAUAAAAGAAAAAGGAUUCAUGUGUAAGAGAAAAGUCAUUAAAAAUUGACUUAAAAAAAAAAAAAAAAAGGGCUCAACGAAGUUAAAGAGGUGGAAAAGAGAAAUGAUUGAUUAAAUAUUGAAUAUAAAAAGGUGAAUGAAGUUGAACCAAAAUUUUUCGCUUUCUCUCUUUUUUCAUUCGUUAUGUACACAAAUGAUUUUUACUUUAUGCUUUUUCAUUUAUCAUGUGCAUGUUACCUUUGGCAUUUUGUAUGAUCAAUUGAAUUUUGAAUCUGAAACUUUGAUAAUCAACUUUGUUAUGCACUUGGUAUUUUAUAGUAGCUAUAUGUUGCUAUCAAAGUGAAUUGAAUGAUUUUGGCAUGUGUCAGUUCUAUCUGCUUUUCAUCUGUGCAAUCUCAACAUGAAAAAGGGAAAACUGGAAAAGCACACCAACCCAUCCAUAUUUUGUGUUACUUGAACUUGAGUUAUACAAGGUUGGUUCUUCUCCAGUGCCUAUGAACUGAUGAGUUGAUGAAUGAUGGCAUUCCAUGCACGCACGUGCAGUGUGAU
rnacentral:lncRNA from 1 species